rnacentral:antisense_RNA from 1 species
AAACCAUGAUGGGGUGGCAUAGGGUGGUCCCGUCGGCAAGAGACAUCCACUUAACGUAUGCUUGCAAUAAGUGCGAGUGAAAGGAAUAGUAUUCUGAGUGUCG